rnacentral:rRNA from 1 species
GAUGAACGCUGGCGGCGUGCCUAAUACAUGCAAGUCGAGCGAACAGACGAGGAGCUUGCUCCUCUGACGUUAGCGGCGGACGUGUGAGUAACACGUGGAUCACCUACCUAUAAGACUGGGAUAACUUCGGAAAACCGGAGCUAAUACCGGAUAAUAUCUUGAACCGCAUGGUUCGAUAGUGAAAGACGGUUUUGCUGUCACUUAUAGAUGGAUCCGCGCCGCAUUAGCUAGUUGGUAAGGUAACGGCUUACCAAGGCGACGAUGCGUAGCCGACCUGAGAGGGUGGUCGGCGACCCUGGAACUGGGACACGGUCCAGACUCCUACGGGAGGCAGCAGUAGGGAAUCUUCCGCAAUGGUCGAAAGCCUGACGGAGCGACGCGGCGUGAGUGAUGAAGGUCUUCGGAUCGUAAAACUCUGUUAUUAGGUAAGAACAAAUGUGUAAGUAACUAUGCACGUCUUGACGGUACCUAAUCAGAAAGCCACGGCUAACUACGUG